rnacentral:rRNA from 2 species
AUAAGAUGAGAGUUUGAUCCUGGCUCAGGACGAACGCUGGCGGCAUGCCUAAUACAUGCAAGUCGAACGAGCUUCCGUUGAAUGACGUGCUUGCACUGAUUUCAACAAUGAAGCGAGUGGCGAACUGGUGAGUAACACGUGGGGAAUCUGCCCAGAAGCAGGGGAUAACACUUGGAAACAGGUGCUAAUACCGUAUAACAACAAAAUCCGCAUGGAUUUUGUUUGAAAGGUGGCUUCGGCUAUCACUUCUGGAUGAUCCCGCGGCGUAUUAGUUAGUUGGUGAGGUAAAGGCCCACCAAGACGAUGAUACGUAGCCGACCUGAGAGGGUAAUCGGCCACAUUGGGACUGAGACACGGCCCAAACUCCUACGGGAGGCAGCAGUAGGGAAUCUUCCACAAUGGACGAAAGUCUGAUGGAGCAAUGCCGCGUGAGUGAAGAAGGGUUUCGGCUCGUAAAACUCUGUUGUUAAAGAAGAACACCUUUGAGAGUAACUGUUCAAGGGUUGACGGUAUUUAACCAGAAAGCCACGGCUAACUACGUGCCAGCAGCCGCGGUAAUACGUAGGUGGCAAGCGUUGUCCGGAUUUAUUGGGCGUAAAGCGAGCGCAGGCGGUUUUUUAAGUCUGAUGUGAAAGCCUUCGGCUUAACCGGAGAAGUGCAUCGGAAACUGGGAGACUUGAGUGCAGAAGAGGACAGUGGAACUCCAUGUGUAGCGGUGGAAUGCGUAGAUAUAUGGAAGAACACCAGUGGCGAAGGCGGCUGUCUAGUCUGUAACUGACGCUGAGGCUCGAAAGCAUGGGUAGCGAACAGGAUUAGAUACCCUGGUAGUCCAUGCCGUAAACGAUGAGUGCUAAGUGUUGGAGGGUUUCCGCCCUUCAGUGCUGCAGCUAACGCAUUAAGCACUCCGCCUGGGGAGUACGACCGCAAGGUUGAAACUCAAAGGAAUUGACGGGGGCCCGCACAAGCGGUGGAGCAUGUGGUUUAAUUCGAAGCUACGCGAAGAACCUUACCAGGUCUUGACAUCUUCUGCCAAUCUUAGAGAUAAGACGUUCCCUUCGGGGACAGAAUGACAGGUGGUGCAUGGUUGUCGUCAGCUCGUGUCGUGAGAUGUUGGGUUAAGUCCCGCAACGAGCGCAACCCUUAUUAUCAGUUGCCAGCAUUCAGUUGGGCACUCUGGUGAGACUGCCGGUGACAAACCGGAGGAAGGUGGGGAUGACGUCAAAUCAUCAUGCCCCUUAUGACCUGGGCUACACACGUGCUACAAUGGACGGUACAACGAGU